rnacentral:tRNA from 1 species
CAAGUUAUAUCUAUAAGAAGGAAUUUUCAGUUACGUUGAAAUGUUGAUUGUGCAAUUCAAUCUAAUUUGA